UUUACAAUGGAGAGUUUGAUCCUGGCUCAGGAUGAACGCUAGCGGCAGGCCUAAUACAUGCAAGUCGAACGAUAGUUGGGGUUUACUCCAACGAAAAGUGGCGCACGGGUGCGUAACGCGUAUGCAACCUACCUUAUUCAGGGGGAUAGCCCGAAGAAAUUCGGAUUAACACCGCAUAAAAUCACAGCUCAGCAUUGAGUAAUGAUC
rnacentral:rRNA from 1 species